UAACUCUACCCUUUAUUUUAACCACAAGGUUUCAAAUUCUAAAAACAAUAAAAUAAUAAAGCAAGUUAAAAUGAUGUAGCUUACUAGACAAAGUUAAAUAACCAUAUAUAGCUUAUGCACGAAACGAAGCAACUCUAUGUAGUGCAUGAAUACCCUUAAUUCCUAUCCAUAAUUUGAAAAAGAAGGAAAAACAUGGCUAAGACUACCAAAUCUAUUUGUUUCUUUGUUAUUUUCUUCACAUUCAUACUUCUUGUAAACGGGGAAUCCAUAGUGGAUAACAAUUGUAAGAAAAAAUUUUGUACUGGUUGCAUCGUGGACUGUGACGAGAGAUGUAGGAAAGAAGCGCACGCGCUCCGUGGGAAAUGCCACUUAUGGUAUAGAAUAUUUUUUCAAGCAUGCUUCUGCUACUUCUGUUGAACGACGACAGUUGGUAAAUGCAUAUAAGCAUAAAUGGGUUGUAAUGAUCUAUAUACUAUUACAAAUAAUAUCGAUCUUAAGUGACUUUGCCUUUCAUUACCGCCCUUGUUGGCGCGCCAGUUCUCUUUAUAGGUUGAGUCAUUUUUUUUACAUGUUCUUAAUAGUUUUUUAGAUUGUUGUACUGAUAGCUGGUUGUUUUUGGGCUCUUGUUUGGGUUACCCACCUAUUAUUUUUACUUUUCAUGUAAUUUUCAUUUCCUUUUAGUCUAAGACUCUCUCCCUUGAUGUAUAUAGGGGGUAAUGCCAAAAGAAAGACUCGUGUCCUCCUCAAGUCCUCCCAAAAUUUAUGUGGCUUUUAAAAUCACAAUAAGAUGUAUAAUAGAUCACUAUUGAAUUUUGAUCUAAUUGUAAUUUUUAAAGUCACAUCAAUUUUUUGAGGACUCCAAAAGUAGGGAUGGAACUAGGGGGGCCGGUAGGGGUCAUGGCCCCCCCUUAGUUCCAAAAAACAAAUAGGUAAAAAAAAAAAAAAUUAGCCUAUUGACCCCUAGCUUCUGCCCAUAAGAGCUUCUGUCUCCAUCCCUGUCAAAAAGGACAUUGGUCUUCCUUUUAGGAGUUUUAGCAUUACUCGUAUAGGCCAUGUACCACGUGUUCAAUGAAUCAAUAUAUGCUUAUUUAUUAUAGUGUA